GACGAACGCUGGCGGCGUGCUUAACACAUGCAAGUCGAACGGUGAUGGAGGGCUUGCCCUCGGGAUCAGUGGCGAACGGGUGAGUAACACGUGGGCAACCUGCCCCUCACUCUGGGAUAACGCCGGGAAACCGGCGCUAAUACCGGAUACGACCAGGCGCGACAUCUCGCCUGGUGGAAAGAAUUUCGGUCAAGGAUGGACUCGCGGCCUAUCAGCUAGUUGGUGAGGUAACGGCUCACCAAGGCGACGACGGGUAGCCGGCCUGAGAGGGUGACCGGCCACACUGGGACUGAGACACGGCCCAGACUCCUACGGGAGGCAGCAGUGGGGAAUAUUGCACAAUGGGCGCAAGCCUGAUGCAGCAACGCCGCGUGAGGGAUGACGGCCUUCGGGUUGUAAACCUCUUUUAGUAGGGAAGAAGCGAAAGUGACGGUACCUGCAGAAAAGGCACCGGCUAACUACGUGCCAGCCGCCGCCGUAAGAC
rnacentral:rRNA from 1 species